UUGAUCGUGGUCUUCUUUGUGAAGAAAACGUUUGAUAGAGUUUGAAAUCGUGACUCGGUCAUAAGUCUUGACUAUGGCCAGGAUUUGAUAGGUAGUUUGUGCGAAAGUAUUUUUUGUUUUCAAUUAGGUGUUUUUGAGUGAAUCUCGGAUUGCUAUUGCUGUCGUAAGUAAGUUGUGAGAUUAGUAGGAUAAGAGAUUUGCGAACUUGAUGUGAAAGCCUUCUGGCGCUUCCAUAUUUAAAAAAGUUUCAAAAAUAUCGAGUACAAGUUUGG
rnacentral:lncRNA from 1 species